rnacentral:rRNA from 1 species
UACGUAGGGGGCAAGCGUUGUCCGGAAUCAUUGGGCGUAAAGAGCGUGUAGGCGGCUCGAUAAGUCUGCUGUGAAAGUCCAGGGCUCAACCCUGGAAGGCCGGUGGAAACUGUCGGGCUAGAGUCCGGAAGAGGCGAGUGGAAUUCCCGGUGUAGCGGUGAAAUGCGCAGAUAUCGGGAGGAACACCAGUGGCGAAGGCGGCUACCUGGACCAGCACUGACACUGAGGCACGAAAGCGUGGGGAGCAAACAGG